CAACAAACCUGUCUUUGGCAAGUACCUGAACUACAUUUCAGUCACUCAGUAAAGUGAUAACUCAAAAUAUCAUUGUCAACAGAUCUGAAGAAAUUGCCACUGCGUCUUUAGACCGUUUUCGUCAGACGAGAGACACAGUUCUGACUCUGAUUACUGGUUGCUGUACGUAUCUAUCCACAUCAAGGCUGUUUUUGAGAGAGACUCGUGAAGAUUCAAGACAGUUCUUAGAGGAUUUGCAGUUUAAAAGUGAAAUAAUUGUGAAAUAAGUGUGUGAAUGAUUACACUGUGUUUUAUUGAAGUUGU